rnacentral:rRNA from 1 species
CACGUAGGGCGCAAGCGUUGUCCGGAAUUAUUGGGCGUAAAGAGCUCGUAGGCGGUCUGUUGCGUCCGCUGUGAAAACUCGGGGCUUAACCCCGAGCCUGCAGUGGAUACGGGCAGACUAGAGGUAGGUAGGGGAGAAUGGAAUUCCCGGUGUAGCGGUGAAAUGCACAGAUAUCGGGAGGAACACCGGUGGCGAAGGCGGUUCUCUGGGCCUUACCUGACGCUGAGGAGCGAAAGCGUGGGGAGCGAACAGG